AUCCUUUUGCAGUUCAUAAAUGUGAUGAUUGGGUGUUCACUCUGCUGUGUGACAUGUGCCACUCUUAAGCCUUGUUACAAUGCCAACAUGUUACCCAUCUGACG
ensembl:snoRNA